GCAGUGGGCUUUCAGUGGUAGAAUGCAGGAGACCUGGGUUCAAUUCCCGGCCAAUGCA
rnacentral:tRNA from 1 species